AGAACUCUUCGGAGGGAAGAUGUAAAAGACUGAGUGGCGGACGGGUGAGUAACGCGUGGGUAACCUGCCCUAUACAGGGGGACAACAGUUGGAAACGACUGCUAAUACCGCAUAAUGUAUCCGGGAGGCAUCUCCUGGAUACCAAAGGAGAAAUCCGCUGAUGGAUGGGCUCACGUCUGAUUAGAUAGUUGGCGGGGUAACGGCCCACCAAGUCGACGAUCAGUAGCCGGCUUGAGAGAGUGAACGGCCACAUUGGGACUGAGACACGGCCCAAACUCC
rnacentral:rRNA from 1 species